CUCGUGUUGGUUCGGCUUGGGAGCAAGAUUUCCCGGAUGGACGCGGGUAAAGGCUCCUCUCCGGUGCCUUUGGCCGGAGAGAAGUGCUCCUUGUCCACCAACGGCAGCCUCGAGUCCACAAAGACGGGGAGGUGGAGCUCUGCUGGACAGACACACCUGCCCGGGUGGACACUUCAGAGGGAACCUGAUACAGUCCAGAGCACUGCUCGCUCGCUGCAGCUCUACUGUACACAAGACAAGGAGAGUUGGCUCCUGCACGCCCCCUGCUGGAGGAAAGACGGCACGGCCCGCUUGUCCACCUGCUGACGCCUCAUGCGGAUGACGGCUGCGUCCACCCGAGCUGCUGCUGUCUUGCCUCGCUGGUCCUCCUGCAGCUGCUGACAGGCGUGCCGUAGCCUCGCCAGCUCAGCCUCAGAGGACAUCAGGCAUCGCCUCAGCACUUCACUGCCCUGAGAGACACACGGGAAACACAUGUAGCCUGCUGUGGUGCAUUUGAGACACUCGGCAGGAGGUGGAGCGAACGUCUGCCAGCGUGUCUGAAUGUGAAGGCAACCUUGCAUGCACUGUUGAGAGGGAGACGUUCCUGCUACCUCAUGCUGACGGUUUCUGCUACUUUCUUCACCAGGCCGUCAUUGACGGUGCGGUGUACAGCUUUCUGCCUGGCGAUGGCGCUGGUUAGCAUCUGUCUGACGUUUCCUCUCAGCUGCUGCGACCGGUUGACUG